AGGAAGAGGAGGAGCUGAUCUGUUCCUGAUCUCUAAAGAGACUCAAACUUCCUCCUUCAGUUCAGUUCAACUCUCCAACAUUAACUCUGCUCAACAUGGACUAUUAUGGUCUGUCUCUGCUCAUCAUCUCUCUGCUAACAGGUGUCAGAUGUGAUCAACCGAUUCCCUCGUACAGUGAAGUGUUCAAUUUAGUCGGCAGCUUUGUUCCUCUGAGCUACACUUUAUCCAAACCAGCAGCUGUUAAUGAUUAUUUCUUCUGGUACCGACAAUAUCCUGGAAAACCUCCAGAGUUCCUGAUCUCUCACACAGCAAAGGGAGGAGAAUUAUCUCAGCCGCUUCCUGGUUUUUCUAUUAGAGUGAAUGCUGAUAAAACCCAGAUGGAUCUGCUGAUCUCCUCUGCUGCAGUGACAGACUCUGCUGUGUACUACUGCGCUGUGAAGCCCACAGUGACAGGAAACACCAGAACCCUGUACAAAAACCUGCAGUUCUCCACAGCAGCCACUAGAGGGCCUCUCUCCCUGUUAAACUACAAAAAUUAGGACUUUAUAAAAAGUCCUGUUUGUUAACUGACAGACAAAUAUUAGAAUAAAGGAGGAACAUGUUUAUCAUCCCAGACCCCAGACAGGACUCCUACCUGCACUCUGGCAGUCACACCUGACUGCAGCUUACCAACAUGCUGACAAUAUUUUAGUAGUUUAUCAUGAGUUAAUUGCUGGGAGAACAGAGUCUCUCUCCAGGGAAAUAUCAAACAGCCAACAUUUAAACCAUGAGGCUGUUUGUGAACAAGCAGCAGAUCACUUUUUAAAUGAUGACGAAGGCCAUAUGCUGAGCUGAGGAUGCUGCCUGGACCCCAUGAAGGGAUGCAGAGACUGUAGAUCUUUGGGAAACUCUGGACUGGCUUUGUUUCCUCCAGAUUGUGCUCCGGUCUGUAAAAUGGGCUUGUGUUUAAUAAAAAUGUUCUUUUUAUUCAUCUUA